GACGAACGCUGGCGGCGUGCUUAACACAUGCAAGUCGAACGAAGUGGCGAACGGGUGAGUAACGCGUAAUCAACCUGCCCUUCAGGGGGGGAAAACAGUUGGAAACGACUGCUAAUACCGCAUACUGAAGGAGGGGCUUGCGGCUGAUUAGCUGGUUGGAGGGGUAACGGCCCACCAAGGCGAUGAUCAGUAGCCGGUCUGAGAGGAUGAACGGCCACAGUGGGACUGAGACACGGCCCAGACUCCUACGGGAGGCAGCAGUGGGGAAUCUUCCGCAAUGGACGAAAGUCUGACCGAGCAACGCCGCGUGAUUGAAGAAGGUUUUCGGAUCGUAAAACUCUGUUGUUAGAGAAGCGGUAUCUAACCAGAAAGCCACGGCUAACUCCGUGCCAGCAGCCGCGGUAAUAC
rnacentral:rRNA from 1 species